rnacentral:misc_RNA from 1 species
UUGAAUUCCAAACGGAUGAGAUUGCUGCUGGCUUUUGGGCAUGUGCGCAUCUCAUUCAUUCUUAUCUCACCUCUGUGCACUUUUCACAGGAAUGGCUUGUGGCUGAUGGCUGCAGGUUGUUUCUGUGUGCUUUACAAACCCUCAUAUUGUUUAGAAUGUAUAUCGUGUAUUUACACAAUUUAAUA